CUCACCGACUGGUACCAAGAAAAUAGAUAGUCGUUGCAUCAUUCUUAAGUUGGAUAUUGAAGAUGAGUAGUGUCUAUAAUUUUAUUUUGUGAGAAUUUUUUUGUGCAAAAAGAAAUUACUGCAUCGUAAUUUUUAAAGAAAUUUUCGACAAUGGAACCUUCCACCAGCGCAGAAGCCGCAGCCGCUGCAGCGGUAGGACCGGAUCCACGGCUAGAGCUGAUGGGUUCUUUUGUUAUUAAAUCACUGAAAUUGAAACCAGAAAAAUGGACACGAGUAAUAACGGUGGAAGAGCACAAAGCUAUAAUAAAAGAAUUUCUCGAUCGGCCGGUACCCAUGGUGCUUAUUAUUAUACUCACACAAGCCGCACAACUGUUACCAUCCACUACCUUUCCCCUCUCACAGUUAAAAAGUAAAGGGGUAUAUUUCAUUAAGAAACAUCCACAGCCUGUGCCACGCGAGGACUGUAGUAAUUUUAUUAUUUAUGGUGACUUGGCUACACGCACCAUCGAUCAGCUGUCCGCGUUGGUCGAGGAGGUGCUUGUACCAUUGCUCUCCAAUGACGUGAACUACAAGUCAUGGCCCACAAUGGUUGCACAGGAUGUGCAAAAGCAUGUGCACAGCUUGAAGAGCACUGUACAUCAGGUGAAGGGGCAAGUGAGUGGCGAAACAAUACUCGCUAUGCCAGUGGGUGUGGAAUUGAUUGUUAAGUUGGCAGCGAAAUUAAAUAAUUCACGUCGCAUAGCUAUCGAUUUAUACUUGAAAAGUGCAAUAGAGGGCGUGGUAAUCAAGUGGGCAGAACAAAUACACGAAGUCAUCAAAGAGAAUCCAUCGAAUGCAUUUCAAAAUGGUCAGAACCCUACACCGCAAGUUGAAAUCGCCUUCUGGAAUAAUCGGCUGAAGAACUUAUCCUUCAUAUUCGAUCAAUUGCGUGGGGAACGUAUACGUGCCAUGGCUUUGGUGUUAGAAUAUACAAAUAGUGCAUAUCAUCCAUGUUUUCAAGGAAUAUUCAAAAACGUUGUAACAGCUUUAGCCGAAGCGAAAGACAUCACACUCUAUCUAAAUCCACUGAAACGUCCUAUACAGCAGUUGGAAGAGAUUGAUUUUGCCGAAUGUAAACCGCUACUAAUCCCACUAAUGUUUGUGAUUUGUACAAUGUGGGGUAACUCACGGUAUUACAGCAAUUCUUCAAAAAUAACCGUUCUACUGAAACAAUUAUGUAAUCUUAUUAUACAGCAGGCCAAGCGUUAUCUUGAUCCUUCGUCGAUAUUCCAUAGCGAUAUUGAUGAGGCAAUGCAACGUCUCACACAAUCUAUACAAAUAUUAAAAUUCUUCCGUGAGCUUUAUGAUCACUACAAGGAAAAUUUAGCAGAUUUCUUUCCCACGCCAGAAGAGAGACCACCGAUUCCCUGGACCUUUCAUCCAAAUUCCGUCUUCAAUCGCUUUAAUGCAUUUUUGGAGCGUUUAACCACAAUACAAUGGUUUUUCUUUACUGUGAUUGAAUUCUUGAAGUUAGAGAAAGUUGAAAUCGGUGGUCUACGCGGACGCCAAUUGAGCACACGCAUCACUGCGGUGUAUGUGGAGUUCAAUCAAUAUUUCACGGCAUUCGCUUCCAAGUCUUACGAUGUACUCGACCCAGACGAUCACGAAUUCGAUGAGGAUUUCGAGAACUUCCAAACACAUAUACUGGAGUUGGACAUGAAACUGGCUGCGAUAUUGUGUCAAGCAUUCGAUGAUUGCCACAAUUUGGAGAGCAUGUUCAAGCUUAUAAAUAUUGUGGGAAGCGUAAUUGAUCGCCCUAAAAUCAAAGAACAAUUUACACAGCGUUACACAGAGAUUGUACAAAUGCUCGAAGUGGAAAUGACCACGUGUGAGGAUAUAUUUUACAAACAAAUUGAUUUGCAACAAGUGAACAAGAACUUGUAUCCUGAUUAUAACUGUCCACCGGUAGCCGCCUUCAUACGUUGGUGUAACCAACUGGAGGCACGUAUCAGCACACCAGUUAAAAAUUUUCAAAAACUUCAACACGACAUAACCAAGUCCGAAAUCGCUGAGGAUAUAUUUACGCGUUACGAGCGAUUGAUGCGUCGACUGGGCAUACAUAAAACCUGUGCUUUCGACGAAUGGAGUGAAAAGUUGGCGGAACAAAUCGAAACGAAUCUGAAAGUUUCGUUAAUCGCCCGUGAUCCCAAUAGUAAUUCGUUAAUAUUGAAUUUCAGUCCGGAACUCUUCAGUAUUCUGCGCGAGGUCCACUAUUUGAAGCAAAUGGCUGUCGAGGGUAUACCAGAGAUCGCUUUGAAUUUCGCUGAGAAGAACGAAACUUUUCGCACUUACACUCUGAAUCUUGAAAAGACCAUCGACUGGUAUAACUCUAUACAGGAGAAUAGUUCCCCAGUUGAACUGAAACUGAUCGAAUCGGAGAUUAAACAAAUCGAUGAUUUGGUGGAGAUUGGUGUAAAUGAGUUAGUGUGGAAUUCUGAAGAUAUUACAACAUAUUUAGACAAGUUACGUACACCGGUCGCAGCUUUACAAAAUCGUAUGCAUCACACACAAAGCAAUCUACAACAAAUCAGUCAACUUAUGUCCGUUUGGGCAAAGCAACCACUUUUCGAACGGAAGGAUUCCAAAAAAGACACGGUGCUUUGCAUUGAAGAACGUCCCGAUCGUACCAUGAAACGUUAUGCUGAAAUACAAGCCGCUUCAGUAGAGAUACACAACUUACUCCAAGACAACGUGAUUCAGUUUAAUAUGGAAAGUAGACAAGAAGAUGAAAUUUGGUUGAAUUAUGUAGACUUCGUGGAUAAUAUUGUUUAUGAGAAUAUAUUAAAGACCGUGGGUGUGAGUGUUGGCUAUUUGGCGGAGAACAUGGACCCGGAUAAUAAUUGCGCGCCACUUUUCGAAUCCCGUUUAGAGUUGGUGGAACCGAACUUGGUGUUUGUGCCCUCUCUUAAUCCCGAAGAUUCGAUGGGAUUUAAUAACAUGCUAAUCGAACUAAUGCGCGACAUAAUGAAAAUGGCCACAUUAAUAAAACGUCUUAAGAAGAAUGAGAAGCGUAACUAUGGUGAUAUGGUUAAGGAAAACCAAGAUAUAAUUGAUAUGCGUCGUGAGAUUUUGAACGGUGUCGAUCGUGUUAUGGAAGAAGCAUCGCUGUUUUGUCGACAAUUUGAACGUUACUCCUAUCUCUGGCUAGACGAUCGGCAUGAAUGUAUGGAGUAUUUCCUUGAAUAUGGACGCAUUUUGGAUGUGGACGAAAUCGAUUUGGUAUUGAUGAAAGAACCGAGUGCGCCGCAACCAUGUGCACCCACCAUCGAAGCGUUCCGAGAACAAAUCGAUAACUAUGAAUCAUUAUUCAAUGAAAUUGAAGACAUUGCACCUUUCCAAAUUUUCAAUUCUUGGUUUCAAGUUGACGUGCGACCCUUCAGACAGGCAUUGCUGAAUACAGUUUGCAAAUGGGGAAAUAUGUUUAAGGAACAUCUGGUGAAUACCGUUACAAAUAAUCUCAUGGAUUUGAGUAGUUUCAUACGGAAGGCCGAUGAAGGCCUACUGCAGACCGUCAAGGAAGGUGACUAUGAUGGACUCGUCAGCAUUAUGGCCUAUCUGAUGCAGGUAAAGGAGCGCGCUAUCAAAACUGAUAAUAUGUUCGAACCCAUGCAAGAGACCAUACAAUUGCUAAAGUACUUUGAUAUGGACAUACCGGAAGAGGUGAAUGUGUUGCUGCAAGAGUUACCCGAGCAGUGGGUGAAUACGAAGAAGAUUGCUACAACUGUGAAACAGCAAGUGUCACCUUUACAGGCCACCGAGGUGGUGCGUAUACGCAAUAAGGUGACCGAGUUUGAGACACAUACACAACUGUUUCGGGAGAUUUUCAAACAUUACAAAUUCUUUCGGUUUGAUUGUAAUGAGCCCUAUCUGUUGAUUGAUCGUAUAAAUGAAGACAUAUAUCGGCUGGAAUGCGAAAUGCGUGAAAUACAAGAGUCGGGUAGUUUGUUUGAGGUUAAUAUACCUGAGUUCAAGGCAUUGAAGCAAUGUCGCAAGGAAUUGCGAAUGUUAAAGCAAUUGUGGGACUAUGUAUACAUCGUACAGACCUGCAUUGAAGAUUGGAAAACGACGCCUUGGCGAAAAGUAGAUGUCGAGAAUAUGGACAUUGAAUGCAAAAAAUUCGCCAAGGAUAUACGUUUAUUGGACAAGGAAAUGCGCUCCUGGGAUACAUUUAUAAAUUUGGAAUCCACCGUCAAAAAUAUGCUCACUUCCUUGCGAGCUGUUGGUGAAUUGCAGAAUCCAGCUAUACGUGAGCGUCACUGGAAUCAACUUAUGAACUCCACCAAGAGUUUAGCCGCUUUACCAAAGGACAUAACGGUGAAAUUCAUAAUGGAUCAUGAAACGACGCUGGCCGAGCUCUUGGGUCUUAAUUUGCAUGAAUGUGAGGAGGAGGUGAAGAAUAUCGUCGAUAAAGCAGUGAAAGAAAUGUCAAUGGAGAAAAUACUACGCGACUUACAUACCACUUGGUCUGCGAUGGAAUUCGAUCAUGAACUCCAUCCACGCACUGGUUGUAAUCUCCUCAAGGCAUCGGAGGAACUCAUAGAGACUCUCGAAGAUAAUCAGGUCUGCUUACAAAAUCUGAUAACAUCGAAGUACAUUGCACACUUCCUUGAGGAGGUGUCAACAUGGCAGAACAAACUGAUGGUAGCCGAUCAGGUGAUUACCGUCUGGUUUGAGGUGCAACGCACUUGGACCCAUCUAGAAAGUAUCUUCAUGAGUUCCGAAGACAUACGUAAACAAUUGCCAGUCGACUCGGAUCGUUUCGAUCGCAUCGACGCUGAAUUUCGCAUAUUAAUGGACGAAAUGUCCGUAUCAUCAAAUGUGGUGGCGUCGACAAAUCGACCCGGCUUGAUUGAACGUUUGGAGCAUCUACAAAAGGAGCUUACAUUGUGUGAGAAGGCACUGGCAGAGUAUUUGGAAACGAAACGUUUAGCUUUUCCUCGUUUCUACUUUGUAUCAUCUGCUGAUCUGCUUGAUGUGCUGAGCAAUGGUAUUCAGCCAGAGAUGGUCACCAAACAUUUGACCAAACUUUUUGAUUCGAUAGCACGUUUGAAAUUUAAUCGCGACGAAUCGAAUGAAAUCGACACAGCUUCGGGUAUGUAUGCCAAGGAUGGUGAAUAUGUGGAAUUCAAUGAAUUGGCGAGUAUACGCGGCCCGGUGGAGGUGUGGCUGAAUCGCAUCCAAGCGGCCAUGCGUGCCUCGCUACGUCAUUACGUUUCCGAAGCUGUAGUCGCCUAUGAGGAAAAGCAACGUGAACAAUGGUUAUUCGACUAUCCUGCACAGGUAUCACUUUGUGGAUCACAAAUUUGGUGGUCCACUGAGGUGAACAUUGCCUUCGGUCGUUUGGAGGAAGGUUACGAUAAUGCCAUCAAGGACUAUUACAAAAAACAGAUCUCUCAGUUGAGCUUGCUCAUCACGCUAUUGUUGGGCGAGCUGACUAAAGGAGAUCGACAAAAGAUAAUGACCAUAUGCACAAUUGAUGUACAUUCGCGCGAUGUUGUCGCUAAAAUGAUCCAAGCCAAACUGGAUUCGGGUUCGGCAUUCAUGUGGCAAUCACAGUUACGCCAUCGUUAUGAUGAGGGUGAAAGAGAUUGUUUUGCCAAUAUCUGCGAUGCCGAGUUUCAGUAUUCGCAUGAAUAUUUGGGUAAUACCCCACGUCUUGUUAUCACACCGCUUACCGAUCGCUGUUACAUUACAUUGACUCAAUCGCUACACUUGAUUAUGGGCGGUGGCCCCGCUGGUCCGGCGGGUACCGGUAAAACCGAAACUACUAAAGAUUUAGGCCGCGCGUUGGGUAUUAUGGUAUAUGUUUUUAAUUGCUCAGAACAGAUGGACUAUCAGUCAUGUGGUAAUAUUUACAAAGGACUGGCGCAAACUGGUGCUUGGGGCUGUUUCGACGAAUUUAACCGCAUCACCGUGGAGGUGCUUUCUGUUGUAGCUGUGCAGGUAAAAUCUGUACAAGAUGCCAUACGUGACAAGAAGGAAAAGUUCAAUUUUAUGGGUGAAAUAAUCAGUUGUGUGCCCACAGUAGGCAUAUUCAUAACCAUGAAUCCCGGUUAUGCUGGCCGUACAGAGUUGCCGGAGAACUUAAAAGCGCUCUUUCGCCCCUGUGCUAUGGUUGUACCAGAUUUCGAGUUGAUUUGUGAAAUCAUGCUGGUUGCUGAAGGUUUCCAAGACGCGCGAGUAUUGGCUAGAAAAUUUAUUACGCUCUACACACUAUGCAAAGAGUUGCUUUCCAAACAGGAUCACUACGAUUGGGGGUUAAGAGCAAUUAAAUCAGUGCUGGUAGUUGCUGGUUCGCUUAAGCGCGGUGAUCCCGGCCGACCCGAGGAAGAGGUACUCAUGCGUGCCUUACGUGAUUUUAAUAUACCGAAGAUCGUCACGGAUGAUAUGCCAGUUUUUAUGGGUCUCAUUAGCGAUUUGUUUCCCGCAUUGGAUGUGCCCAGAAAACGUGAUCAAGACUUCGAACGCACAGUGAAGCAGGCCGCAUCUGAUCUACUACUCCAACCCGAAGAUAACUUUAUCUUGAAAGUUGUACAGCUGGAGGAAUUACUAGAAGUACGACACUCCGUUUUCAUAGUUGGCAAUGCUGGUACCGGCAAGACACAAGUGUGGAAAACUCUACUACGUACUUAUCAAAAUAUCAAAAGAAAACCGAUUUUUAACGAUUUGAAUCCGAAAGCCGUUACCAAUGAUGAACUUUUCGGUAUUAUCAAUCCGGCGACACGUGAGUGGAAGGAUGGUUUGUUUUCGGUUAUAAUGCGAGAUCAAGCAAACAUAACGGGUGAUCAGCCCAAAUGGAUUGUGCUCGAUGGCGAUAUCGAUCCAAUGUGGAUUGAGAGCUUAAAUACUGUUAUGGACGAUAACAAAGUCUUGACUUUGGCCAGUAACGAGCGCAUUGCGCUGACACCUUCGAUGCGCUUGCUUUUUGAGAUUUCCAAUUUGAGAACAGCCACUCCAGCAACUGUUUCUAGGGCAGGAAUACUUUAUAUAAAUCCACAAGAUUUGGGUUGGAAUCCUUACGUUAGCAGUUGGGUGGAAACUCGAAAAAUUCCAUCCGAAAAGUCCAAUUUGGUAAUGCUUUUCGAUAAAUAUAUACCGGCCUCGUUAGAGACCAUACGCACACGUUUUAAGAAAAUUACACCCAUUGCCGAGAUGGCGCACAUACAGAUGUUAUGUCAUCUGUUGGAAUGUUUCUUGACGCCUACGAACACACCAGCCGAUUGUCCAAAAGAAUGGCAUGAACUGUAUUUCGUUUUUGCUUGUGUUUGGGCAUUCGGAUCGGCUAUGUUCCAGGAUCAAGCGAUCGACUACCGAGUCGAAUUCAGCAAAUGGUGGGUAAAUGAGUUCAAAACCGUUAAGUUCCCGCAGGGCGGCACAGUGUUUGACUAUUUUCUUGAUACAGAAACUAAAGUCUUCCUACCAUGGACUGAAAAGAUUCCGAAAUUUGAAUUAGAAUCCGAUUUACCGUUACAAGCAGUUUUGGUGCAUACCUCUGAAUCAAUACGCGUGCGUUUUUUCCUCGAGCUACUCAUGAAUAUGCGACAUCCUGUUAUGUUGGUAGGCACCGCAGGUUGUGGCAAAACUGUACUAGUCAACGAAAAGCUACAGGCACUCAAUGAGAAUUAUGCGGUCACUACGAUUCCCUUCAACUACUACACCACUUCAGAAAUGUUGCAAAAAAUACUGGAGAAGCCGUUGGAGAAAAAAGCGGGUCGUAACUAUGGCCCCCCAGGCAAUAAGACGCUUAUCUACUACAUUGACGAUAUGAAUAUGCCGGCAGUGGACUGUUACGGCACCGUCCAACCGCACACCAUUAUCCGACAACAUCUGGAUUACGGACAUUGGUACGACCGCAAUAAGCUGUCCUUAAAGGAUAUACACAACUGUCAGUAUGUGGCUUGUAUGAAUCCGACAGCUGGGAGCUUCACUAUAAAUCCACGGCUCCAGCGGCAUUUCUGUGUGUUGGCCGUGAGCUUUCCUAGUGGUGAUUCCAUCACUUCGAUGUUUUCCACGAUCUUGUCACAGCAUUUCGCAAAUGCUGAACAGAAGUUUAAUCCGAUAGUGACGCGCAUGACAUCUAACAUUGUUGCCGCAACAUUGGCUCUACAUAACAAGUCUAUGCAGAUUUUCUUGCCGACUGCAAUAAAAUCACAUUACAUAUUCAAUUUGAGAGACAUCAGCAACGUUUUUCAGGGCUUACUUUUCAGCACAGCCGAUUGCUUGACCAGUUCAUCCGAUCUUAUACGUCUUUGGCAGCACGAGACCCAACGAGUCUAUGGUGAUAAAUUAAUUGAUGAUAAGGACAUCGACAGUUUUACGAAGAUGCAACACGACAUAGUGAAGAAAUCUUUUGAGGAAAUCGACGAAUCGGUGAUUUUUGACAAACCCAAUAUAUAUUGUCAUUUCGCUGGAGGAAUUGGUGAACCCAAGUACAUGCCCGUCAUGGGCUGGACUGAGCUUCACAAACUCCUUCAGGAAGCAAUGGCAUCGUACAAUGAUCUUGUGGCGGCUAUGAAUUUGGUGCUCUUCGAAGAUGCCAUGAUGCAUGUAUGCAGAAUAAAUCGCAUCUUAGAGUCACCACGUGGUAGCGCCCUGUUGGUCGGCGUUGGUGGCAGUGGAAAACAGUCUUUAUCACGUCUCGCCGCUUUUAUUUCUAGCUUGGAAGUGGUGCAAAUACAAUUGAAAAAAGGUUACGGCAUAAAUGACCUGAAGAACGAAUUCUCCGGCUUGUAUUUGAAAGCUGGUUUGAAGAAUGUUGGUACUAUGUUUCUUAUGACAGAUGCACAAAUACCUAGUGAAGAUUUUCUCGUCCUUAUCAAUGAUAUGCUUUCUACGGGUGAGAUACCUGAUCUCUUUCCCGAUGACGAAAUUGAAAACAUAAUAGCUGGAGUACGUAACGAAGUAAAGGGAGCUGGAAUGGUAGACUCACGCGAGAACUGUUGGAAAUUCUUCAUAGAUCGCGUACGUAAACAACUCAAGAUUGUGCUGUGCUUUUCGCCAGUUGGGUCUACGUUACGUGUACGUUCACGUAAAUUUCCGGCUAUCAUAAAUGCCACAUCUAUAAAUUGGUUUCAUGAAUGGCCACAGGAAGCCCUCAUCUCGGUGGCAAUGAACUUUCUGUCGUUAAAUAAGGUUUUACCUGCAACACAUCGCGAUUCGGUAGCUAAAUUUAUGGCCUAUGUACACACAUCGGUGAAUGCUAUGUCGAAAGUAUAUCUACAAACCGAGCGACGUUACAACUACACCACACCAAAAAGUUAUCUUGAACAGAUCAGUUUAUAUUUGAAGUUGUUGAACCAUAAACAUGACGAUUUACAGGGUAAGAUCGUGCGCUUAGAGAAUGGUUUAGAGAAAUUACGUUCCACCGCUGUGCAAGUAGCCGAUUUGAAGGUGAAAUUGGCUGUACAAGAGAUAGAGUUGAAAGAAAAGAAUGAGGCCGCCGAUGCGCUAAUCGAAAUCGUCGGAAUCGAAACGGAGAAGGUGCAAACAGAGAAAGCAGUGGCUGAUGAGGAGGAGAUGAAAGUUGCGCUCAUCGCCGAUGAAGUAAGUAAGAAGCAGAAAGACUGUGAAGAAGAUUUACUAAAAGCAGAACCCGCAUUAACCGCUGCGCAAGAGGCGCUGAACACUUUAAACAAAGCCAACUUAACAGAGCUGAAAUCCUUUGGCUCACCACCAGGGGCGGUAACAAAUGUGACCGCCGCUGUCAUGGUACUGCUGGCACCAGGAGGCAAACUACCUAAAGAUCGUUCAUGGAAAGCAGCCAAAAUUUCAAUGGCAAAGGUGGAUACAUUUUUAGAUUCACUCAUCAAUUACGACAAGGAGAACAUACAUCCGGAAAUCAUUAAAGCUAUACAACCCUAUCUAAAGGACCCAGAGUUUGAGCCCGAGUUUGUGCGCUCCAAGUCAGGUGCUGCUGCGGGACUCUGUGCCUGGGUAAUCAAUAUAAUCAAAUUCUAUGAAGUAUAUUGUGAUGUGGAGCCGAAACGUAAGGCUUUGGCUGCGGCGAAUGCAGAGCUUGCUGCUGCUCAAGAAAAACUAUCAGGCAUUAAAAGAAAAGUCGCUAAUCUGGAGGAGCAAUUGGCAAAACUAACUGCGGAUUUCGAGCAAGCAACCGCUGAUAAGUUACGUUGCCAACAAGAGGCCGAUGCUACACAAGCCACAAUCGCACUAGCAAACCGUCUAGUUAAUGGUCUGGCUAGUGAGAACGUACGUUGGGCCGAAGCGGUAAAUAGUUUUGUGAAACAAGGCAUUACUUUGCCAGGCGACAUUUUGCUCAUUACCGCCUUCAUCUCAUAUGUUGGCUGUUUCACUAAACAGUUUCGAAUCGAUCUGAUGCAAAAAAUGUGGACGCCGUUCUUGAAGAGCAUCGAUCCGCCUAUACCAACCACUGAAAAUUUAGAUCCAUUAUCAUUGCUAACGGAUGAUACCACCAUCGCGAUAUGGACCAAUGAGGGUUUGCCCAGCGAUCGCAUGUCAACUGAGAAUGCCACUAUACUUUCGAAUUCAGACCGCUGGCCGUUGAUGAUCGAUCCUCAGCUUCAAGGUGUCAAAUGGAUAAAACAAAAGUAUGGCGAAGAACUGAAGGUGAUACGUUUAGGCCAACGCAGCUACUUGGAUGUAAUAGAAUUAGCUAUCACGAAAGGCUGCAUUGUGCUGAUCGAGAAUAUCGAUGAAAACCUAGAUCCUGUAUUGGAUUCGUUACUAGGCAGAAAUCUCAUAAAGAAGGGCAAAGCCAUCAAAAUAGGCGACAAGGAAAUUGAGUACAACUCCAACUUUCGUUUAAUAUUACACACAAAGUUAGCAAAUCCACACUAUAAGCCUGAAAUGCAAGCACAAAGCACUUUGAUUAACUUUACUGUAACACGUGACGGUUUGGAAGAUCAACUGUUGGCGGAAGUUGUAAAGGCCGAACGUCCUGAUCUAGAAGAUUUGAAAGCCGAGUUAACAAAGCAACAGAACGACUUUAAAAUUAUGCUGAAAAAGCUUGAAGACGACCUAUUAUCUAGGUUAUCAUCGGCAGGUGAAAAUAUUUUAGGCGAUACCGCUUUAGUAGAAAACUUAGAAACUACUAAGAGUACAGCUUCUGAGAUCGAAAUAAAGGUCGCCGAGGCUAAAAUUACUUCCAAAGAGAUUGACAAGGCUCGUGAAUAUUAUCGGCCAGCAGCUGCAAGAGCCAGUUUGCUUUACUUCAUACUCAACGAGCUCAACACUAUUAACCCAAUUUAUCAAUUUUCGCUUAAGGCAUUUAGUGUAGUUUUUCAAAAGGCCAUCGCACGCGCCGAACCGGGCGAAACUUUAAAUGCACGCGUUUUCAACUUAAUUGAUUGCAUAACUUACUCCGUAUUCCAAUAUACCUCGAGGGGUCUAUUCGAAUGUGAUAAAUUAAUAUUUGCCUCGCAAAUGGCUUUUCAGAUCCUUUUAAUGAACGAGGAGAUUACAUCUACGGAACUGGACUUUUUACUCCGCUUCCCGAUUAAACCGCACGUUACUAGUCCGGUUGAUUUUCUCUCCAACCAAUCGUGGGGCGGAAUAUGCAGUCUGGCGUCUAAAGAUGAAUUCCGGAACCUCGAUCGAGACAUAGAAACUUCAUCGAAACGUUGGAAAAAGCUGGUGGAGUCUGAAGCGCCAGAGAAGGAGAAAUUCCCACAGGAGUGGAAGAAUAAGACGGCAUUGCAACGUCUUUGUAUGAUACGUGCACUUCGACCUGAUCGCAUGACCUAUGCGCUAGCAGACUUCAUCGCUGAGAAACUUGGUAAUAAAUAUGUAGAGAAUCGUGCUUUGGAAUUUGCUAAAUCUUUCGAGGAAACCAGUCCCUCCACACCUAUUUUCUUUAUACUCUCACCGGGCGUAAAUCCACUGAAGGACGUUGAGGCGUUGGGAAAACUUUUGGGUUACACAAUGGAUCUGGGUAAUUUUCACAAUGUCUCUUUGGGUCAGGGACAAGAAGUUAUUGCCGAAGCGGCUAUGGAUACAGCAGCUAAAAACGGGCAUUGGGUUGUAUUGCAAAAUAUACAUUUAGUGCGUAAAUGGUUGCCGGUGUUGGAAAAGAAAUUGGAAUUCUACGCAGAGGGAUCACAUCCCGAAUACCGCAUGUUUUUGAGUGCUGAACCGGCUUCGUCGCCAUCGGCUCACAUUAUACCACAGGGUAUACUGGAGUCCUCUAUUAAGAUUACAAAUGAACCACCUACCGGCAUGUUGGCCAAUCUACAUAAAGCACUCGACAACUUCACCCAAGAGACAUUGGAAAUGUCUGGCAAGGAAGCUGAAUUCAAAGCUAUACUUUUCUCGCUUUGCUACUUUCACGCUGUGGUCGCUGAGCGUCGUAAAUUUGGCCCGCAAGGUUGGAAUAAGAUCUAUCCAUUCAAUGUGGGCGAUUUAAAUAUCAGCGUAUCGGUAUUGUAUAAUUACCUCGAGGCAAAUGCCAAGGUACCAUGGGAGGAUUUGCGUUAUCUCUUCGGGGAGAUCAUGUAUGGCGGUCAUAUAACGGACGAUUGGGAUCGUCGCUUAUGCAUUACAUAUCUCGAAGAAUACAUGCAACCAGAUCUAGUGGAUGGUGAACUGUUUCUAGCACCAGGUUUUCCUGCGCCGCCCAACACCGACUACGCCGGCUAUCACGCUUAUGUUGACGAAACGAUGCCAGCCGAAUCACCAUACCUUUACGGACUGCAUCCGAAUGCAGAGAUUGGUUUCUUAACCACACGUGCGGAGAAUAUAUUUCGUACUGUUUUUGAGAUGCAACCGCGUGAUGCUGGCGCUAGUGGUGGUGCCACGGUGACCAGGGAGGAUAAGGUGAAACAGAUUGUAGAUGAGAUCAUGGAGAAAUUACCCGAAGAGUUCAAUAUGGUCGAAAUAAUGAACAAGGUGGAGGAGCGUACGCCAUAUGUGAUUGUGGCCUUUCAAGAAUGUGAACGCAUGAAUUAUCUAACGAGCGAGAUGAAACGCAGUCUAAAAGAGUUGGAUCUGGGUUUAAAAGGCGAGCUGACGAUCACCUCAGACAUGGAAGUACUAGAAAAUUCAUUGUUUCUGGAUCAAGUGCCGCCAGUAUGGACACAACGCGCCUAUCCAUCACUACUGGGCUUGAAUUCAUGGUUCAUCGAUUUGUGUUUGCGAUUACGUGAAUUGGAAACAUGGUCUACUGAUUUUGUGCUUCCUUCCUGUGUCUGGUUGGCCGGCUUUUUCAAUCCACAAUCAUUAUUAACCGCAAUUAUGCAGAGCACAGCGCGACGCAAUGAAUUACCCUUGGAUAAAAUGUGCCUACAAUGUGAUGUGACUAAAAAGCAGAAGGAGGACUUCACCAAAUCAGCGACCAAAAAAGCGCUUCAGCUUGAUUACUUGGAGUCAGUUUGCUCAUUAAGUGAAUAUAAAAAGUGGUGUAUCAGCAGUUCACCAAUGAUUCAAAGCGACCUGCACGGCACCGCGUGAAGGCGCCUAUGUUCAUGGGAUAUUUAUGGAAGGCGCCAGAUGGGAUGUACAACAGGGUAUCAUAAUGGAAUCGCGUCUCAAAGAGCUCUAUCCACCGAUGCCAGUGAUAAAUAUUCGGGCGAUAACGCAGGAUAAGCAAGAUCUACGCAACAUGUAUGAGUGUCCCUUGUAUAAGACGCGAACUCGCGGCCCCACUUACGUCUGGACUUUCAAUCUGAAAACCAAGGAUAAACCCGGUAAAUGGACGCUAGCUGGAGUGGCUCUGCUACUGCAACCCUGAAUAAUACAUUUGAUGUUAUUAAUUGAAUUUUUUUAAACUCCAAUACUUAAUGAAGUAAUUUAUAAAUCGAUUCAAUUUAGUGAAGCAUUUUGUAAAUCUAAUUUACUUGUGCUAUUUUACUAAUGCAUAGAAUACACAGCCUUAGGCUCGCACUAAAUAGUUUAAA